AGCUCAAGUUGGAACCUGUUUGGCUUAGCUAAACCGGAUUGUAAACUGUAGAAGUGUUUUCCAGGCAAGCCGGACCGAUAAGUCCUUUGGAACAGGGCAUCAUAGAGGGUGAGAAUCCCGUCUUCGGCCUGAGCAUUUGUCUUUUGUGAUACACUUUCAAAGAGUCAGGUUGUUUGGGAAUGCAGCCUAAAUUGGGUGGUAAAUCUCACCUAAAGCUAAAUAUUGGCGAGAAACCGAUAGCGAACAAGUACCGUGAGGGAAAGAUGAAAAGAACUUUGAAAAGAGAGUUAAACAGUAUGUGAAAUUGUUAAAAGGGAACCGUUUGGAGCCAGACUGGCUUGUCUGUAAUCAGUCUAAGCUUCGGCUUGGAUGCACUUGCGGGCUAUGCCUGCCAACGACAAUUUG
rnacentral:rRNA from 1 species